CAGCCGCCGCGGUAAUACGAAGGGCGCAAGCGUUACUCGGAAUUACUGGGCGUAAAGCGUGCGUAGGCGGUGAGUUAAGUCUGCUGUGAAAUCCCCGGGCUCAACCUGGGAAUGGCAGUGGAUACUGGCUCGCUAGAGUGUGUCAGAGGAUGGUGGAAUUCCCGGUGUAGCGGUGAAAUGCGUAGAGAUGUGGAGGAGCACCAGUGGCGAAGGCGACUCUCUGGUCUGUAACUGACGCUGAGGAGCGAAAGCGUGGGGAGCAAACAGGAUUAGAUACCCGAGUAGUCCCUGUCUCUUAUAC
rnacentral:rRNA from 1 species